rnacentral:lncRNA from 1 species
AGGGAACUGUAAAUUAUUCAGGGACCCAUUCUUGGAUUGUACAUUAGUCUGGCGACAUUUUCAGCAUCCUGUUUUGGGCUUUUUAGAAAAAACAAAUGGGCCAGGAAUGAAGCCUCUCAAAAUAAGCCCAGAGUGGAAGGGAGCUGCCAUGUGGUGAGCUGCCCUGUGUAGAGAUCCAUGGGUCAAGAAAUUGAUGUUUCCAGCCAACAGCCAGCCAAGACCUCAGGGCUGCCAACAGCCACGUCAGUGAGCUUGGAAGUGCAUCCUAUCCGAGUUGAGCCCGCAGAUCACUCAGCCCCAGCCAACCCCUUUGCUGCAUCCUUGUGAGAGAUCCUGAGUCAGGCACCAGUGAAGCCUUGCUCAGAUUCCUGAUCCACAGACAUGGUAAAAUGAACGUUUGUUGUUUUAAGCCACUAAGUUUGGAGCUAGUUUGUUAUGCAGCACUAGAAAACUAAUACAAUUACUCUGGCUAGUGUAGAUACUACAUUGGAGAGAGGAGGUAAGACUGGAAAGAGCUGCAGUAGCUAUAACUCUAUGAGAAAAUUAGUAGCCAUAACAGUAAGAGUGUGGACUGGGUGUAGUGGCUCAUGUCUAAAAUCCCAGCAUUUCGGGAGGCUGAGGCAGGUACAUUGCUUGAGCCUAGGAGUUCAAGACCAGCCUGGGCAGCAGGCUGAAACACCAUCUCUACAAAAACUACAGAAACUAGCCAGACAUGGUGGUUAACACCUGUACUCCCAGCUGCUUGGGAGACUGAGGUGGAAGGAUCACUUGAGUCCAGAAAGUCAAGGUUGCAGUGAGCUGAGAUCGUGCCACUGCACUCCAGCCUGAGUGACAGAGCAAGACCUUGUCUCAGUUAAAAAACAAAACAAAACAAAAAAUUCCCACAAGCAAAAUAAGCUUUCUUUUGCCAUCUUCCAUCAUUGCCAAUGGCAUUCAUCCAAAGUGAAAU